rnacentral:snRNA from 8 species
AUCGCUUCUCGGCCUUUUGGCUCAGAUCAAGUGUAGUAUCUGUUCUUAUCAGUUUAAUAUCUGAUACGUCCCCCAUCGGGGGACUACAUAUUAAAUGGAUUUUUCGAACAGGGAGUCGGAAAUGGGGCUUGCUCCGUCCGCUCCACGCAUCGACCCGGUAUUGCAUUACCUCCGGGAAUGGUGCAACACUU